UGAUAGCACUAAUAAUAAUAGCGCCUGACG
rnacentral:piRNA from 1 species